UGGUUAUUGUGUGCUUCUUGUCAAGCA
rnacentral:misc_RNA from 1 species